rnacentral:rRNA from 1 species
CCCGCGUAAUUUAGGCAUAUUAUUAAGCGGAGGAAAAGAAAUAACAAGGAUUCCUCAGUAGCGGCGAGCGAACAGGGAAGAGUCCAGCACCGAACCCCGCAGGCUUCCGCCUGUCGUGGCAUGUGGUGUUUGGGGGGGCCCAUCAUCCCGGCGCUUCGCGGCGAGUCCAAGUCCAACUUGAAUGAGGCCACGGCCCGUAGAGGGUGCCAGGCCCGUAGUGACCGUUGCGGGUGUCGGGAGGACCUCUCCCUCGAGUCGGGUUGCUUGAGAGUGCAGCUCCAAGUGGGUGGUAAACUCCAUCUGAGACUAAAUAUGACCACGAGACCGAUAGCGAACAAGUACCGUGAGGGAAAGUUGAAAAGAACUUUGAAGAGAGAGUUCAAAAGUACGUGAAACCGUUCUGGGGUAAACGUGAGAAGUCCGAAAGGUCGAAUGGGGAGAUUCAAUCCCAUCCGGCCACUGGCCUCCGCUUCCGGCAGAUGGGGCCGGCCGCCCGCACGGAGCAAUCCGCGUCGGGGUCGUGUCCGGCUGUCUUUCCACUCGCCGUGUUGCGGAGCCGUUCCAGUGUGCGGUGGGGCGCAAUUCUUUCCUAGUAGGACGUCGCGACCCGCUGGGUGCCGGCCUACGGCGCGGGUGCGCAGCCUGUCCUUCCACGGGUCUCGGCUCGUGUUCGUUGGGCAGAGCCCCGCAGUCCUGGCCGGCUGCCCGGCGGUACAAGUACGAGGAGUUGAUUCGCCACAUUGUGGGCGCCCUGGGCUCCCGGCAAGCGUGCGUGGUUCUUUCCGGUCAGCGGUCCUACACGGCCCGGUUCCGGUCCCACGCCGCUGUUGGCUCGGGUACGCUCUCGGGCGGAAUGAUCGCUCCAGUCAGCGGCGCUUCAGCUUUGGACGAUUUCACGACCCGUCUUGAAACACGGACCAAGGAGUCUAACAUGUGCGCGAGUCAUUGGGCUCUACUAAACCUAAAGGCGUAAUGAAAGUGAAGGUUUCGCCUUGCGCGGACCGAGGGAAGAUGGGGCUCACCCGCCGCGCUUGUCGUGGCGGCAGCCUCCGCAUUCCCGGGGCGUCUCGUCCUCAUUGCGAGGUGAGGCGCACCCAGAGCGUACACGUUGGGACCCGAAAGAUGGUGAACUAUGCCUGGCCAGGACGAAGUCAGGGGAAACCCUGAUGGAGGUCCGUAGCGAUUCUGACGUGCAAAUCGAUCGUCGGAGCUGGUAUAGGGGCGAAAGAUAAUCAACCAUCUAGUAGC